UGUCAAUUUAAGGGUGCAGCGGCCCGUGGUUUUAAGCAUAAACACUAGGAAAGGGUGACCUCUGCGGGGCCAGCCCCUCCGGACCCAUUUCACGGCCUUCGGAGUCCAAGUGGGCGCUCACUGAUUCUGGACCAUUUAACUGACUGGUCUGCACUGAGCCGGGGAAGCUGAGCGCCAAGACUGCUCAGGUGGGACCCCAGUUGAUCUUUCUGCAGGUGGUCGUUCUGCAGCUGGCUUGCACCGAUAGGAAAAGGCGUCUGCUGGGGGUGCAAAACUGCGGGCAAGGACCCCCGAGGAAGCAGGUGCAAGCGCCGGGAACUCAGAGAAGCGAGGGCUGGGGCUCACCUCCUGCCUCUUCGCAGCCUCAGUUGUCACCACCGCCCUGCCAGUCUGCCCUUCGCGGCUGCAUCCCCCGCACCAUCGGGCCGCCCCUCUGGAUUACUCAUUCUCCCUGCCCACUCGUGGCCGCCCGUGUGUGGGCAUAGCCUGGAGGCUCUCGUCGUGCGUGACCCAUAUCCCUCGCGAUCGCCCGGUCUGUGGCAGCCACGCUGGGCGCUCCAUGUCCCGCCCCGGUACCAGGCGCGCAGUUUCCAGCUCAGGCCCGGGAGCGCACACCCCGAGGCUCCCGUAUCCGCGGUCGGGGAGGGCCUGGGCUGUGUGCUCGUGUCUGAACGUCUGAGGACCCUCAGAUUCUCACAGGGCCCGGAUUCCGUAGGGACCGUCCACUUGGAGCCGUUGACCUUGACCCUCUUGGGCCCUCAAGACAGAGACUGUGCGGCAUGGAGCUGGCCUUCCCAGCUGAUGCUGGCUCGAUAUUUCGAAGACCCUGUGAACAGAAGCUGGGCCCUCACUGAGCAUGUAGAAGUGGCCCAGUUCAGUACAAUGGCAUGUGAAAAACCAGACUGAGCAAUUUUGGAGGAGGUGAAUCACUGGAUUACUCAUGCCUAGAUGAUGAAGAUGAUCCAUUAUGGGAACCAUGGAAAAAAUUGUGGCGCAUACUGGAGAGCUGACAGUGAACAGGCAGGCACAGCACCACGAAGACCUACUGUGACAACAGGAAAACAGAGAAGGUGUCGACUGUGCUCGAUAAGAAAGGACAAGAAAGAAAACGGGUGCCAUCAGUGCAACACUUGUGCAUAGGACAUGCAGUUAUAUGUGGGGCUGCCUUGGGUGUGGCGGUGGAAGCCAAGCUUGUUUUUGUGAUAGAAUUCUGUUGGUGUUUUCGUUGUAGUUCACACGGGAAUUUACUUCUGAUGUUAUCUUUUGGGUUUUGUGAGCAAGUACAAGCUGGUUUGAAAAUGUUGAUAUCUAUUCUAAACGUACAAUACAUUGAAUUUAAUACUUUAUUUUAUUGAUACUUUAUGUUUCUGUUAACUACACCUUAUACAAUAUAACAAGAACCUCCUGACAAAAUAGGAAGGGCACUGAGGUGUCAGGUGUGGCCUACAGACAGGCCAGGAAAGCUAAACACAUGUGCUGUCAGUGUAAGCGAUGUGUGUGUGGGCCGCCAUGUGUGCAGACUGCUUUAGCUGUGGUAACUAAAGAUUAUUUUUGUGUAUCCUGUAUUGAUAUUUUUAUUGUAGCUCAUAUAAGAAUUUAUUUGUGUUGUUCUUUUUUCUUUUUUUUUUUUUUCUGGUACCUCUUUUUUCUUUUUUUUUUCUGGUACCAGGGAUCGAACUCAUGACUAUGCACUUGCCAGGCAGGCACUUACGUCACUGAGCUAAAUCCCCUGCCCUGUGUUCUUUUGUAGUCUGAGCACAACAAAAAAUUCAACGUUGGAAAUUUUGAUGCUUUUUAAAAUAAAUGUUCAAUAAAUAUUAGAAAUUAAA